GACGAACGCUGGCGGCGUGCUUAACACAUGCAAGUUGAACGGAAAGGCCCUGCUUUUGUGGGGUGCUCGAGUGGCGAACGGGUGAGUAACACGUGAGUAACCUGCCCUUGACUUUGGGAUAACUUCAGGAAACUGGGGCUAAUACCGGAUAGGAGCUCCUGCUGCAUGGUGGGGGUUGGAAAGUUUCGGCGGUUGGGGAUGGACUCGCGGCUUAUCAGCUUGUUGGUGGGGUAGUGGCUUACCAAGGCUUUGACGGGUAGCCGGCCUGAGAGGGUGACCGGCCACAUUGGGCCUGAGAUACGGCCCAGACUCCUACGGGAGGCAGCAGUGGGGAAUAUUGCACAAUGGGCGGAAGCCUGAUGCAGCAACGCCGCGUGCGGGAUGACGGCCUUCGGGUUGUAAACCGCUUUCGCCUGUGACGAAGCGUGAGUGACGGUAAUGGGUAAAGAAGCACCGGCUAACUACGUG
rnacentral:rRNA from 1 species